ACUACUUGUACGCUAAUGCCGUAAUGUAUAAUUGGAAUUGAAUUAUUUCUGGAUUUACAAAGAAAAACAGCAAGACUUGCCGCAGCCAAAAGUAUAUCAACCGCUUUUAUAGCUUCGCAAAAGAAAGAAUCAUCAUCCUGGACAAUCAAGAACCAAUGGAUCAGAUUUUCUUUCACCAAAACAUUUUUGUAUGCAUUGAAAAAGAAGUAAAAGUUACUUCUAUGAAAGAAUUACGAAACUUCUUAAUUUCUGUUAUCGUAUUUUGUUGGAGAUAGUUCUUGAUCGAUAAAAAAAGAGGCUAUACGCGAAGCGUGUGACGUACAGUAUGAAGAAAAGAAUUGUGAAGCUGUGACAGAUGAAUGUCCAAAAAAUAAUCUUUUAUAGGACCAAAUCUUUCUGUAAUAAUUGGAGCAUUUAAACCCGCAAAAAUUGUCGGUAUUCCCAGAGGUUUGAAAAAACUUGUUUCCUCAAAAAUGAAGAGUCUACGAUACACAGAAGUUAUAUAUUAUAUUAUAUAGAAAUCCUUGGAAUGCGCCACUUCUGAGUCUAUUAAAAGUCUUUACAAUCAAUUACUUACCAUACAUGGCAGUAGUGUAAUAUAAAUUUGAAUGGAAUUAUUUCAGGACUUAGAAA